AUGCUGGUGACCAUUAUGGCGAGCACAGCGUCGGACAUACCGCAGCUGCUCUGCUGCCGGAAGAUGGAAAUGUUUUUGGAAGCAAGUUCGGAGCAUUUGUUCCAUUCAUGCCUGCUCCCUCCCUCCUCCUGCCCUCUAUUUUUCAAAUUGCUGCAAGAAAAACCUGAAGGGAAGUGUGAAGAGUCCUGUUUGGCACAUGAGGAACAGAAAGUCGAUGAUUUUACCCCAGGUCACACGAGAAGCUGGCAGCAACCUCAGGAAUCACGAGGAACUCCUUGGGAUGUGGAGCGUGCCCCUGAGUCCUCCGGAGGCUGGCCCAGCCUGGUGGCACAUCUUGGUCAUCCCCUGGCUCCAAGGAGGUUGGCUGAGAUCCCUGAAGAGGGAAAGGUGGCAGAAGCUGGCUGCUGUGUGUCAAGAGAGCAACGCUUUUGGAAUCCAAGCUGA
rnacentral:lncRNA from 1 species